rnacentral:rRNA from 1 species
UACGAAGGGGGCUAGUGUUGCUCGGAAUUACUGGGCGUAAAGCGCACGUAGGCGGCUUUCUAAGUCGGGGGUGAAAUCCUGGAGCUCAACUCCAGAACUGCCUUCGAUACUGGAGAGCUUGAGUCCGGGAGAGGUGAGUGGAACUGCGAGUGUAGAGGUGAAAUUCGUAGAUAUUCGCAAGAACACCAGUGGCGAAGGCGGCUCACUGGCCCGGUACUGACGCUGAGGUGCGAAAGCGUGGGGAGCAAACAGG